UUAAUUAUUCUUGUGUGAACAGAAGAGAAAAUCUGAUUAUUCUUAAUAAGAGUAGCCAAGAAGGGCUGGGGAUUUAGCUCAGUGGUUCUGCCGCUUGCCUCGCAAGCACAAGGACCCGAGUUUGAUCCCCGGUACCAAAAGAAAAAAAAAAAGAGUAGCCAAGAAUACUAUGUUUGAUGGUUGCUGCUUACUUUUAGCUGUUACUUAAAAAGUGCUUAUCAAUUCCAUUCAAUCUCCUUUUUAUCAAAAAUAUUUGAACCAAUGUAACCUAAAGCAUGGAUAAGGUUGGUGGUAAUGUGCUUUUUUUCUGAUAAUCAUUUGCUCAUUUUUUUUGAGUACAUGCUUUGAUAUUUUUUUUUCUGUUAAAUAGAAAAAAAUUUAAGUUAUUAUCACUUUGUUUUUGGUAGUUCAUUUAUAAAUCUUUUGUAGUUUGUUUACUAUAUAAUAAUCCUUUGCUUUUAAUAUUUCUCCAGGUCAGAAAUAAGGCACAGCAAACAUUUUUUGCAGCUUUAGGAGCAUAUAACUUCUGUUGCAGAGAUAUUAUUCCCUUGGUUUUGGAGUUCUUACAGCCUGGUAGACAAGGUGUCACACAACAGCAGUUCAAGGGCGCAUUGUAUUGUCUCCUUGGAAAUCAUAGUGGUGUGUGCUUGGCAAACCUUCAUGAUUGGGACUGUAUUGUACAGACUUGGCCAGCGAUCAUCUCUUCAGGGCUUAGCCAAGCAAUGUCGCUAGAAAAGCCAUCCAUAGUGAGACUAUUUGAUGAUCUUGCAGAAAAGAUUCACAGGCAGUAUGAAACAAUUGGUCUGGACUUCAUGAUUCCAGAGUCAUGUGUUGGAAUAGCAGAAUUACUUCAACAGUCAAAAAAUCCUUCAAUCAACCAAACAUUACCUAGCCCAGAAGAAAUUAAAGGAGGAUUUAAACGACAACAAGAAAGGAAUGCUGAUGCCCUGAGGAACUAUGAAAAUUUGGUAAAUGCUUUGCUAGAUGGUGUGGAGCAAAGAAAUUUGCCCUGGAAAUUUGAACAUAUAGGAAUUGGGCUUCUGUCUCUACUCUUGAGAGAUGACCGAGUGUUGCCUCUUCGUGCCAUACAGUUUUUUGUGGAGAAUCUCAACCAUGAUGCAAUUGUAGUUCGAAAGAUGGCUAUCUCAGCUGUUGCUGGUAUUCUCAAACAGCUAAAAAGAACACACAAAAAGCUGACCAUUGACCCUUAUGAAAUCAGUGGAUAUCCUAAACCCACCCAAAUUCUUGCUGGUGAUAGGCCUGAUAAUCAUUGGCUGCAUUAUGAUAGCAAAAGUAUACCAAGAACUAAAAAAGAAUGGGAGUUAAGUUGCUUUGUUGAAAAAACUCACUGGGGGUACUACACCUGGCCAAAGUAA
rnacentral:lncRNA from 1 species